UCGCAUGCUACACUGGGUGUUUGACGACAGUAGCCGGUGUAGCCUUGUUGUCUGUCUUCUCAAAAUGUCUCAAAGACAACAUUUGAAAUGAUCACUUACUCUUUUGUUUGUUUGUUUGUUUGUUUGUUUGUUUGUUUGUUUGUAUGUAUGUGUGUGUGUUUGUGUGACUGCCUGAGUGUGUGUGUAUGUGUGUGAGUGGAGGUAGUGUGAGCACAAACUACUUGGCAGACAUCUCUUGACAGUUUGUCAGAUGA